AGCACCAUGCUUUGUAACAGCAUCGGGGUCGUUGCAGGACCCCCUGAUUACAAUAAAGCGAGAAAGAAGAACUCCUGACUUAAAAACAUGAUAUUCCUUCAGUGUAGGAAGCAGCAGUGAGGUUGUAAUAAAGGCUGCAUUCAAGAAGACCCAUCUGAACAGUGAGUUGGGUUAGCAGAGUGAUGAUUUUUAAUGCUUGUGAGAGCCAGUGUUAGACUGCCGAUUCUGCAUAGAGAGAUCAUCUAAAUGGGCAGAAGCCUGCACAAUUUAUGAAGUGCUGAUUUAACACCAGCCUAUGCAAGAUGGCCCAAGGGGCUAUACAAAGAAAGCUGUUUGCACAGGAUAGAAUUAAGAGCAGCAUGUCAGCAUUCCGUCUGCAGUUGAGAUGUUGAUUCCUCCUUGUAUUGCACAUUGCUGAAAGGGGCUUCCUGAGGCUGGAGAGAGCAGUGAGGCUGGACGUAAAGAAAGAAGUGAUGCACUCAAUUCUGCAAUAGAUAAAAUGACCAAGAAGACCAGGGACUUGCGUAGACAGCUCCGCAAAGCUGUCAUGGACCACGUUU
rnacentral:lncRNA from 1 species